rnacentral:RNase_P_RNA from 1 species
CCAGUCGGCUGGGCGGCCGCUCGCGCAAGUGCCGAAAGGCCGCGCGGGAGGAAAGUCCGGGCUCCACGGAGAAACGGUGCCGGAUAACGUCCGGCGGGGGCGACCCUAGGGAAAGUGCCACAGAGAACAGACCGCCCCGCCCGCCGGCCCACAAGCGCCGGCAUCGUCGCGGGGUAAGGGUGAAACGGUGGGGUAAGAGCCCACCGCGCCUUCGGCAACGCGGGCGGCAGGGCAAACCCCACCGGGAGCAAGACCGAAUAGGGACGACGCGGCGGCAACGCCGCCCUUCUCCGGGGAUCGUCGUCGUCCGGGUGGGUUGCUAGAGGCGUCGCGCGAGCGGCGUCCCAGAGGAAUGGUCGCCGGGCGGCGAAAGUCGCUCACAGAACCCGGCUUACAGGCCGGCUGGCACU